rnacentral:rRNA from 1 species
UACGUAGGUGGCAAGCGUUGUCCGGAUUUACUGGGUGUAAAGGGCGUGCAGCCGGAGAGGCAAGUCAGAUGUGAAAUCCGCGGGCUCAACUCGCGAACUGCAUUUGAAACUGCUUCCCUUGAGUAUCGGAGAGGUAAUCGGAAUUCCUAGUGUAGCGGUGAAAUGCUUAGAUAUCGCGCAGAACUCCGAUUGCGAAGGCAGCAUGCCGGCUCCACACUGACGCUGAGGCACGAAAGCGUGGGUAUCGAACAGG